rnacentral:rRNA from 1 species
UACGUAGGGCGCGAGCGUUGUCCGGAAUCAUUGGCGUAAAGAGCUCGUAGGCGGACGUCGACGUCCGCUGUGAAAAGCUAGGGCUUAACCCUGGCCUUGCAGUGGAUACGGGCAGACUAGAGGUAGGUAGGGGAGAAUGGAAUUCCCGGUGUAGCGGUGAAAUGCGCAGAUAUCGGGAGGAACACCGGUGGCGAAGGCGGUUCUCUGGACAGUUCCUGACACUGAGACACGAAGGCCAGGGAGCAAACGGG